UACGGGGGGGGCAAGCGUUGUUCGGAAUUACUGGGCGUAAAGGGCUCGUAGGCGGCCAACUAAGUCAGACGUGAAAUCCCUCGGCUUAACCGGGGAACUGCGUCUGAUACUGGAUGGCUUGAGUUCGGGAGAGGGAUGCGGAAUUCCAGGUGUAGCGGUGAAAUGCGUAGAUAUCGGGAGGAACACCAGUGGCGAAGGCGACUUCCUGGCCUGUUCUUGACGCUGAGGCGCGAAAGCUAGGGUAGCAAACAGG
rnacentral:rRNA from 1 species